UACGUAGGGUGCUAGCGUUGUCCGGAAUCAUUGGGCGUAAAGCGCGUGUAGGCGGCCAGAUAGGUCUGCUGUGAAAACUCGAGGCUCAACCUCGAGCUGUCGGCGGAAACCAUCUGGCUAGAGUCCGGAAGAGGAGAGUGGAAUUCCCGGUGUAGCGGUGAAAUGCGCAGAUAUCGGGAAGAACACCAGUGGCGAAGGCGGCUCGCUGGGACGGUACUGACGCUGAGACGCGAAAGCGUGGGGAGCGAACAGG
rnacentral:rRNA from 1 species